CUACGGGACGCUCCAGUGGGGAAUAUUGCGCAAUGGAGGAAACUCUGACGCAGCGACGCCGCGUGAGUGAUGAAGUAUUUCGGUAUGUAAAGCUCUAUCAGCAGGGAAGAUAAUGACGGUACCUGACUAAGAAGCACCGGCUAAAUACGUGCCAGCAGCCGCGGUAAUACGUAUGGUGCAAGCGUUAUCCGGAUUUACUGGGUGUAAAGGGAGCGUAGGUGGUAUGGCAAGCCAGAAGUGAAAACCCGGAGCUCAACUCCGCGGAUUGCUUUUGGAACUGUUGUACUAGAGUGCAGGAGGGGUAAGCGGAAUUCCCAGUGUAGCGGUGAAAUGCUUAGAUAUUGGGAGGAACACCAGAGGCGAAGGCGGCUUACUGGACUGUAACUGACACUGAGGCUCGAAAGCGUGGGGAACAAACAGGAUUAGAUACCCCCGUAGUC
rnacentral:rRNA from 1 species